rnacentral:ncRNA from 1 species
UUCAAGCAGAUGAAGAAAAAGUAGUAAUAAAUUAUCUUAUUAUUAGAGAGUUUAUGGUUGGUGAAAAUAAACAUAAGAGAUUUAUGAACUUGUUUUUGGAUGUGUAAGGUUUGACCCUUUAAAGUCUUAUGAGUGUUAAAGUAAGGUGGUACCACGGAAGUAUUUUCGUCCUUUUG